UAAAAAGAAUAUGAAUAAAGAAAAGAAAAAGAAAAGAAAAAGAAAGGAAAAGAAAAGAAAAGAAAAAAAAAUGAUAAAUAAAUUAAAUCUUAAUUUAAAGACAAGUGGCUCAUUUGUAACCACUUACCCAAAUUAAUUAAAUAAGAAAAAGAAAAUAAUAAGAGGAAAAGAUCAUCUUCUUCCCAAAUAUCCCGUAUCCAUCCCCAAAAUUGCCCUAAAAUUCUUCUUCUCAAUUCUACUCCAAUUGCUUCCAAUUUUUCCACCCAACUUGCUAGCCUACCUCAUCCAAGUCCCUUCCCUAGUUGAAUAUUCAAAGUAGGAGGAAGAAUUAAAGAGAAAUUCAAGGUGGAGGGAGAGGAAAUAUUAAUUACAUAUUGGGAAUUUGAAAGAAGAAGUAGAAGGGAAAGGGAAAGAAAAGGAAAAUUAGGGAAAUUUAAGCUUGUGGAAGAGCUUGGGAAGGUUGUAGACCCAAGGAAUAGUAGAUCAAGAUCUGCAUCAACCCAGUCAGAGUUACAUCAUUGACUAUCUUGGGGUAUCUUUUGUAAAUUUCUAUAUGAAUUUGAUUUUGGAAAUAUGGCAUGUACAUAAAGUUUUGGAGAUGAAGUUGUAUAUGGUUAGUUAUAGAUAUAGUUGAAGAUUUUAAUUUUGGUAUAAAUGUGGAUGAUUAGUAUAAGUUUCUGUGUUGAGAUUAAUUAAAUGUUAUGAAGUGUUUGAUCUGAA